rnacentral:rRNA from 1 species
AGUGAACGCUGGCGGUAGGCCUAACACAUGCAAGUCGAACGGCAGCACAGUAAGAGCUUGCUCUUACGGGUGGCGAGUGGCGGACGGGUGAGGAAUACAUCGGAAUCUACUUUUUCGUGGGGGAUAACGUAGGGAAACUUCCGCUAAUACCGCAUACGACCUACGGGUGAAAGCAGGGGAUCUUCGGACCUUGCGCGAUUGAAUGAGCCGAUGUCGGAUUAGCUAGUUGGCGGGGUAAAGGCCCACCAAGGCGACGAUCCGUAGCUGGUCUGAGAGGAUGAUCAGCCACACUGGAACUGAGACACGGUCCAGACUCCUACGGGAGGCAGCAGUGGGGAAUAUUGGACAAAGGGCGCAAGCCUGAUCCAGCCAUACCGCGUGGGUGAAGAAGGCCUUCGGGUUGUAAAGCCCUUUUGUUGGGAAAGAAAAGCAGCAGGUUAAUACCCCGCUGUUCUGACGGUACCCAAAGAAUAAGCACCGGCUAACUUCGUG